rnacentral:rRNA from 1 species
AUAUUAUUAAGCGGAGGAAAAGAAACUAACAAGGAUGCCCUCAGUAACGGCGAGUGAAGCGGGCAAAGCUCAACCUGAAAAUCGAUCAUCCACACGGGUGUAUCGAAUUGUGGGCUAGAGACGCAUGAUCAGUGUGUGACCCAGGUAUAACUCUUUUGAAACAAAGGAUCAUAGAGGGUGAGAAUCCCGUCUGUGACCUGGAGCUUGCCGCGUACGAUCUGCGUUCAUAGAGUCGAGUUGUUUGGGAUUGCAGCUCUAAAUGGGUGGUAAAUUUCAUCUAAAGCUAAAUAUCGAUGAGAGACCGAUAGCGAACAAGUACCGUGAGGGAAAGAUGAAAAGAACUUUGAAAAGAGAGUUAAAAAGUACUUGAAAUUGCUAAGAGGGAAGCACUGGAAACCAGUCGUGACUCGCGUGGAUAUUUACUAGUCUGCCAGUUGAACGAAGCUUGACGUAGGAGCCCAAAGCCCUAGGUUUUGAGUCGGUCUUUUGGCGGCUGGGCACUGUUCUGUGAGUCGUAUCAGAAUCAAUUUGAUUCGUGAGAGAAAGCUUUUGCAUCGUUGGAGGUAGUGGGGCAACUCACUUAAUCCAAGAGCGGGAGUGCUAUCAUGGGUUGGAUUGAGGGA